UAGAGCGCUACGUUCGGGACGUAGAGGCCGGAGGUUCGAAUCCUCUCACUCCGA
rnacentral:tRNA from 1 species